CAACUCUCCGCUGUCAUUGCCUCACAGACCUCGCCUUCCUUCAGGGAGCUCGUUGUUCAUUCCGGGUGGCAAUCAAGGUCCUGCGCCAGCCACAGCUCUUGGAAAGGAGGGAUAUACCCCCCCCCGCCUCCCCAACUCUCCCCAACAACAAUGCGCUCGUGCACGCAGGCAGAAAAGCGGAUAGCGAAGCUAGUAGAGCCGGAGGUGAGCUCAACAUCUUGGGGCAGCAGAGCAAGUCGAGCCACCACAUGCCUCGCACGGGCGAGUCUGCGGUCGCGAGGAACGCUCUGCAGGCAAUCGCGUCGCCGCUGCAAGAGCUAGAGGCGAAGUACGAAGCGGUGCUGGCGGAGAACGAGGACCUCAUCCACCAGCUCAGGCUGGAGCAGCUGCAGCGUCAGCGAUAUGAAAAGGCGUACCGUCGGGUGCAGGAAAAUGUGCAGAGCAACCGGCAAAGCCUUCAGCAAAUGUUUGCCCUGGCAGAGUCGUGUCCCGCGGGAGUUGGUCGGCACCAAGUCACGGGAGAUGCCACUGUCAUAACGACUUCAGCAGUCGGAAGCGAUGAUCAGCUCCCCAGAGCUGCCGGCAAUCCCACAACUUUCGGCACCGAUGAGAACGAGCGCGUGAGAAGACUGGAGCAGGAGUGCGCGUACCUGCAGGCAAAGGUGGAUAGCCUACGCAUUGCCUUUAGGCAGUAUGAGCGCGGAGGCGGAGAGGGCGCCGGCGACGGUUCGCCGCAUGAUACUUCGCCUUUCCGUCCUCGAGAGCAUGCGCAGCGCCACUGCGCUGACAACACCACGGGUUCUAAGGCACUAGAGGCGGAGCAAACGGGUCGCGCCCUCGCCGAAGAGCAGCUUAUUCGCUGCCACGCCACUUAGCGCUGUCUUCGCGAUGACGCUGCCCAGAAAGAGGUCUUCUUCCACGCCCAGCUUGCCGCCCUGCAGGCGCAGAACGCAGCGCUGCUCGAGGACUUGGACGCGCGGGUGACGGCGGGGCAACGGCUGAGCAUGUCAGCGGCAUUUUCUCGUCGUUUUGUAGCCUCUUCUCCAGGGACCCCGCUAGCGCCCGCAGCGACUUCUACCAGCUCACCAACGAACGCGAAGGCGAUGCGGACGCCCCCAAAUCACCAGAUGACUACCCCUUCUGUGGACUUCGUCGCCGAUCGCGUGGACGCGUCAGUGCCCCGUCAGCUAGAACGCCGGACGAAACGCCAGGAAGGUCUAGCGCGUGCCAAAGAUCGCACAAUCGUGCAGCCGGAGGGGCGAGCACGGGAGCUGGGGGACGCGCCAGCAGUCGCCGCGGCUGCAUCCGAGAACACCUCGUCGCAAGCAGCAACCGUCACGGUUUACCUCGACGAUCUCGAGCAGCUGCGCCGCGACGCACAUGCUCUGAAAGUGUUGGUGCAGCACCACAGAGCUGCACAGGCGGCACAUGGCUUAUUCACUCCAUCCAUCCCACCGACCCCCACCACCACCACUGCGGCAGCGCCGUCGGCUGUCUCCGACAUCAGCACAACUCUUCGCUUCGUGCGCGAAGCCCUGUCCUACGUGCUAAGCCACCCUUCAUGCGCUGCAGGCCCUUCAUCGACCAUGAGGGUGCUGCAGCCGACAACCGUAGCUGAGGGCUAUCGCAGCAGCGGCAUCCUUUCGGACGCGGCCAAAGAGCUCGCUGACCUCAUGCGGCGGUACGCGGCCUCUACGUGCCAUGACGGUCGCGUAUGACCGACCGAAUGAGAGAAAAUACAGGGUCAGUGAUUAAGGGGAACGGCGCCCUCUAAUUGCAUCCCGACCUCACCACCCGGCCCCUCAGCACACAGCUAGAGAAAGCAAUGUACACGGGCACACACAAAUGAGCCCAUGCAUGAGAUGGUCUCCUCAGUAUUCGACAUCCACUGCACUACACCCCGCCCCCGCCCUCCGAACGAACACCAUCAACUCACCGGCAUGCAGCGAAUCCUCAUGAUAAGUGUGUCGCUCUCCCUCGUCGAUGGCGGUGAAUACCUUAGCAGAAACGCUGCGAGCACAGUGUCGAAUCCAUCCAUGCAACAUAGUCGCACCCUCCGUCUCGCUCUCUAACCCAUUUCCGCUGCGUACUUCAACACCCCGUUAGCAUCCGCUACACAACGACGCUUUUCGAUAAAUCGCCUUC
rnacentral:misc_RNA from 1 species